rnacentral:tRNA from 1 species
GCUGGGAAUGUAGCUCAGUGGUAGAGCACUUGCCUGGCAUGCAAGAGGUCCUGGGUUUGAUCCCCCUGCACGAGUG